ACUGUUAUGGCGCCCUCUAUAGGCAACCCAGCUCUUCUAAUUUAAAAGUUGCUGCAUUUGUGAUGAUUUUCAUCUUGACUGGGGAUGGUUUUUCCAGCAUCAUUUGUUAGACUAUUCUUACCUCCAUGGUGAUUCUUGGCGCCAUUGUCAAAGGCCAGCUGACUGUAUAUGUUAACCCUGGGACUUCUGUAAUAUUGGAUCAUACUGAUAAACCUAAUUUCUGACAAAUUCUUCCUCAUCCAAUUCAUGCUCCCCAUUCUGAACACCAGCAUCAUGCAUCCUUUGCUCUGUUCUAGGCACAACAAUCAAAAGUGCUUAUUCCCAAACUGGACCUGACUUCAGCCAGAGCAUUGCUGGGACAUAUAUAAAUCUACGUUUAAUAUUUGAAGACUUGCCAGACUGUUUCCUAAAACACCUGCAGCAUUUUACAUUCCCACCAGCAAAGUACGAAAAGCUUCCAAUUUCUCUACAUCCUCACCGACAAUCAGUUUUUUAUUUUAAAUGCUAUAGUUACAAAGAAAAGUUUUAGAAUGAAUUAAUGCUGUGAUUUUAAUCACAAAGAUUAAUUUUGCAAUAAAAAUCCCUGAUAAUUAUGAUUAUA
rnacentral:lncRNA from 1 species